rnacentral:rRNA from 1 species
UACGUAGGGUGCAAGCGUUGUCCGGAAUUAUUGGGCGUAAAGAGCUCGUAGGCGGCUCGUUGCGUCGGCUGUGAAAACCCGCAGCUCAACUGUGGGCCUGCAGCCGAUACGGGCGGGCUAGGAUUCGGUAGGGGAGACUGGAAUUCCUGGUGUAGCGGUGAAAUUCGUAGAUAUUCGCAAGAACACCAGUGGCGAAGGCGGCUCACUGGACUGGUAUUGACGCUGAGGUGCGAAAGCGUGGGGAGCAAACAGG